CAUAUCUUGAUAAAAUGUUUAUAUUUUCCGAAAGGAUCAAAGAUUCAUUUCGUUUUAAGUGUGUGCUGUGUCUGCCUAAAACAAACUAUAUAACGGCCUACAAGAACUCGCCCUCCAACCUGCGCAAACAUAUUGAGAGGAAGCAUGGAUGUCAGUUGCAGAAAUACUGUGAACUAGCCAGGGUUGCCUGCAAAAGAAAAACUGAAUUUGGGACAUCUUCAAAUGUCAAAAAAAUGAAGCUUGAAGAAACAAGACAAAUCUCUCAGAAAACAGUGGAUAACGCUGUACUCCGCUUCGUAGUUCAAGGUCUCCAGCCCUUCUCCCUUGUUGAACAGCCUUCAUUCCAAAUCUUGUCCUGGAUUUGCAGCCAAAGUGUGUGGUAAUGUCUCCAUCUACAGUGCGGCGCAAGAUUGAUGCAGCCACAGCAAUCAUGAAGGAACAAGUGAAAGAAGCAAUGAGGAAGAUUUCAUACGUUGCCACAACAACUGAUUGCUGGGAGAAGGAGGAGUUUCAUCGGUGUAACAGCACAUUGGCUGGAUCCAUGCAGUUUUGAGAGCCAUUCUGUUGCUCUUGCAUGCAAUCGGUUAAAGGGUCCUCAUAUAUUUGAUGCUUUGGCAGGUGCAAUGAAUGACAUACACACAGAGUAUGAAAUUCGUCAGAAAAUAGUCAGAACCACAACUGACAAUGGUUCAAAUUUUAUUAAAGCUUUUCGUGAGUUUGGACUAGAAGAAAACAACGACGCCGCUGAAGAGGCAACUGAGGAAAAAGCAACUGAUGAAGAUUGCUCUGAUGAUGAAGAGACAGAAGUGAAAUUUGUUGAUGUUGAUGCAAUUAUGGCUGAAGAUGAUGGCCUUCAGUACCUACUGCCAAAGCACCAUCAAAGCCUGUCAUUUGCUGAAUUUGGUUUCCACAGUGGAUGUUGAGAGUGCAAACAGGGCAGAGGCCUACAGGAAACUCUCAAGGUCACCCUUCUCUAAGUCCCAGGCUCUCUGGAAUAAGAGUUCAAGGUCUACUACUGCUGCAGAGACCGUCGAGAAGCAUUGUAAGCUUCACCUGGUACAGCCCAAUGCAACAAGAUGGAAUUCCUUUUAUUUGGCUGUGGAGCGCAUAGUGAGAAUCCUCAAAGAUCAAGGAGAAGGGCCUAUGAGAGCUGUCUGUACUGCUCUCAAAAUUCCUAUGUACAGUCCAGCUGACAUAGCCUUUUUGGGUGAAUACACCACCACCAUGAGCCAAUCAUAAACAUAUUGCAAGGAGAAUCCAACAUUCAGAUGGGAUGGCUGCUCCCUAUAAUCACGACCCUUGUGACCAAACUUGACAAAAUGAGAGCAUCGCUGAGAUUCUGCAAGCCGCUAGUUGAUGCCCUCCUAGAUGGUUUGAGGAAACGGUUUGGAGAUAUGAUCUCUGAUCCUGAACUAGUUGCAGCAGCCAUUCUUCAUCCGAAGUUUAAAACCUCCUGGACCAGUGAUGAAGAGGUCCUUAGACUCGGCCACAGUUACAUUAAGGAGCACCUUCCUGACCAUGAUGAGGGUGUUCGGUCUGCUGACAACUCCUUAAGUACUUCUGAUGAAGAUGAUUUCUUCUCUAAUAUCAAGCAUACACAGACACAGAAGACAACCAAACAGUUAGAUGCAUACCUAACAUGUGCCGCUUAUCCUGCUGUAUGUAAUCUAUCACUUAAGCUAAACACGGCCCUGCCUGCUUCGGCAGCAUGCGAGAGGCUUUUUAGUACAGCUGGAUUGAUCUUUAGGCCACAAGAUGGGCAGCAAUCAGCUCAUGCAACUUUGAGAACCAGCUUCUGCUUAAGAUAAAUAAGGACUUUUACAAGUUUGAGUAAUUUGACCACCCUGGGAUUGUCCUGAUUACUUGUUAAAAAUAAAUUACUUGUUUUCUUUGUCA